rnacentral:rRNA from 1 species
AGUGAACGCUGGCGGUAGGCCUAACACAUGCAAGUCGAACGGCAGCACAGUAAGAGCUUGCUCUUACGGGUGGCGAGUGGCGGACGGGUGAGGAAUACAUCGGAAUCUACUUUUUCGUGGGGGAUAACGUAGGGAAACUUACGCUAAUACCGCAUACGACCUACGGGUGAAAGCAGGGGAUCUUCGGACCUUGCGCGAUUGAAUGAGCCGAUGUCGGAUUAGCUAGUUGGCGGGGUAAAGGCCCACCCAGGCGACGAUCCGUAGCUGGUCUGAGAGGAUGAUCAGCCACACUGGAACUGAGACACGGUCCAGACUCCUACGGGAGGCAGCAGUGGGGAAUAUUGGACAAUGGGCGCAAGCCUGAUCCAGCCAUACCGCGUGGGUGAAGAAGGCCUUCGGGUUGGAAAGACCUUUUGUUGGGAAAGAAAAGCAGCAGGUUAAUACCCCGCUGUUCUGACGGUACCCAAUGAAUAAGCACCGGCUAACUUCGUG